rnacentral:rRNA from 1 species
GAUGAACGCUGGCGGCGUGCCUAAUACAUGCAAGUCGAACGAGUGGCGAACGGGUGAGUAACACGUGGGAAACCUACCCUUCAGCGGGGGAUAACCAUCGGAAACGAUGACUAAUACCGCAUACUGAAGGAUGGUCCCGCGGUGCAUUAGCUAAACGGUGGGGUAACGGCCUACCGUGGCUUUGAUGCAUAGCCGACCUGAGAGGGUGAUCAGCCACACUGGGACUGAGACACGGCCCAGACUCCGACGGGAGGCAGCAGUGGGGAAUAUUGCACAAUGGGCGCAAGCCUGAUGCAGCCAUGCCGCGUGUAUGAAGAAGGCCCUAGGGUUGUAAAGUACUUUCAGUCGGGAGGCGUUACCGACAGAAGAAGCACCGGCUAACUCCGUGCCAGCAGCCGCGGUAAUUC